UACGGAGGGUGCAAACGUUGCUCGGAAUCAUUGGGCGUAAAGCGCACGUAGGCGGACCGCUAAGUCGGAUGUGAAAGCCCUCGGCUUAACCGAGGAAGUGCAUUCGAAACUGACAGUCUUGAGUAUGGAAGAGGGUCGCGGAAUUCCCGGUGUAGAGGUGAAAUUCGUAGAUAUCGGGAGGAACACCAGUGGCGAAGGCGGCGACCUGGGCCAAUACUGACGCUGAGGUGCGAAAGCGUGGGGAGCAAAUAGG
rnacentral:rRNA from 1 species